CACAAAAAUAAUUUAUUGACAAUAUAAGAACAAAAUAAUAUCAGAUGAAAAUAAAGACAAAUUUGACUAUAUAAAGAGAUAUAAACGAAUACAUAGAAAUAUAACAGAUCUACUAUCCAGUAUAACAAUUUUAACAACCAACAAUAUUCUCCUCUAGGAGACAUAAUGGAAUCACCAGAGAUGACUUUUAAAAAUUUCUGACAUUGUACAAAAAAAAAAUGCAGGUUUGACCAGCAUACUGCAAUAAACCUUUGAAUGAAUAUUUCAGACCUAUUAAAUAAACAGUAAAACAUUGUGUUGACAUAAAUCAUAAAUAAGAUUGUUUUUAAAAAAAAAACAACGUUGAACCCAAUUGUAAUUGAUUUUGAAAAAAGUUAACAAUAUAAUUUUUUUUUCUUCAUAACUAAAGGCAUUUUUUCAUUUUAUGUAAUAGUAAUUUUAUAUAUAAUGGUAAACUCUUGUGAUUUCCUCAUAAAAAAGGUCUAACAUAAUUAUAUUUUGCAUGUUCAAUAAUUUUGAAACAUGGUAACAAUUGAAAUCAAUCGUGCAAAUAUCUACAGAAUUAAUAAAAAGGACAACAACUAUACUAAUUCAUUAAAGCUCAGAUCUAUAACAAUAAUAGAGGUAAUGUUUUAUUGCUUAUAACAUUGUCAAAUAAAAUAUAACUAAACUACAUAGGCUGGCAAAUAAUAGAGAGAACAACAAUUGUUUUCGAACUCAAUAUUGAUAGAAAUUAGUGAACUCCUUAAUUAGCCAGACAAACAUGAAAGAAAAAUAAUGAAUUUCAUCUUGGCUGAUGAUGAAUACAUAUUAAAACGGUAUUGAAAAAUGCUAAUGGGAGGUAACUCAAUAAAAUAAAAUAAAUUAUGGUAAAUACAUAGUAAAACCAAAUACAGGACACAUACAGUUAAGUUUAAUAAUAACUAUGGAAUUUUUCGAUAUAUAAUAUCAAUGUCAUGGGGGAAAUAUGUGACAAUAUAAAAAUACUGGUGUAUAAAAUAGCACUAAUAUCAAAUCCCUUUUCACCAACUAAUGUAUCACAGUUUUAACAAAUUUGAUGAAACCAACUACAGAAUUACCAAAUAGAAUGAUUAAGGCAUACUUUAUAAUUUUGUAUCAGAUGGUGUUCUAAUUUCAUACAAAACAAUACUGAAUUACAAAUUAAAUAAUUUAUGCAGAGAACAUCUUGAUAUAAGUUAAAGGGAGUUAAUACACUUUUAAGGGAGAUAAUCAUUAACACCAACUGAGAUUUUAAUAAAUUUCAAAGCUUGUAUAUAAUUAGUUACUACCCGUCUUUUAAAGAAGCACACUGUUUUUAAGAUCUCCAUAUGUUAGGGACUUUUGACAGUAACAGCCAAUUUGAUGCAUAUUUUUAGAUAUUAUAAAGUAGAUGUAGUAAAGAUUCUAAUUUGUAUGGUAUGAAGUCAUGGACAAAAUAGAUAAAAGUUGUGAAAUUGCAGCAAAAUUGCAUAUCAAAUUGUGUAUAUUAUUCAUA
rnacentral:lncRNA from 1 species